rnacentral:lncRNA from 1 species
CGGAGUCCGUCCGAGGGCUCCCGCACCUCGGGCUGCGGGAACAUUAAAAUCUCCCCAGAUGCUCACUGCUCUGAUCAUUUCCCCUACAGCACCAGACAUGUUGGCAUCAUCUCUUAGUUGGGCCAUGUGGCCAGGGAACCCUUCAUGAAACCACCUCUGCAGUCCUGGAGAGUUGCUGUAGAAGAAGGAAAAGAGAGGAAGACAACACAACACAGGAGGGGAUAAGUACCUCUGGACACAAUGGAAGUAGUAGUUGUUGAGCAGAGGGAAAGGGAUAGGAGAAGGAUGUGGACUGCAGUGCUGCAGUGCCAGUGGACAUGAGAGAAAGAUCCCAUAGCCCUCUUGGUCUUGGUUGGAACAGGAGGAAAAUGAAAACUGGACAUCCAUCUUAGGACUUAAUCCUACGGAGACCACAAGCUGGAAGAGGCACUCAAUACUAGCAUGGCUUCUGUGGCAUUUUGAUGAGUAGUAUGGGCUCCACACUGAAAUAUUAAUAUCUUAUUGUUUUGAUGAUGAUGAUGAUGUUCAUUGGCCCAGGGCAAAAGGUAAAGGUUGUGUUAUAAAGCUGAUCUAUUCAAUAUCUGUGGAUGUUAACUCCACCCCAUCCCCUUAUUGAACAAUUACGAUGCCUAUAAAUAUUGUAUUGAGAAAGAAAAAAAAAA